AUUGAACGCUAGCGGGAUGCUUUACACAUGCAAGUCGAACGGCAGCGCGGACUUCGGUCUGGCGGCGAGUGGCGAACGGGUGAGUAAUGUAUCGGAACGUGCCCAGUAGCGGGGGAUAACUACGCGAAAGCGUAGCUAAUACCGCAUACGCCCUACGGGGGAAAGCAGGGGAUCGUAAGACCUUGCACUAUUGGAGCGUCCGAUAUCGGAUUAGCUAGUUGGUGAGGUAACGGCUCACCAAGGCGACGAUCCGUAGCUGGUUUGAGAGGACGACCAGCCACACUGGGAAUGAGACACGGCCCAGACUCAGACGGGAGGCAGCAGUGGGGAAUUUUGGACAAUGGGGGCAACCCUGAUCCAGCCAUCCCGCGUGUGCGAUGAAGGCCUUCGGGUUGUAAAGCACUUUUGGCAGGAAAGAAACGUCGCGGGCUAAUACCCCGUGGAACUGACGGUACCUGCAGAAUAAGCACCGGCUAACUACGU
rnacentral:rRNA from 1 species